ensembl:ncRNA C16E9.14 ncRNA
UCCACCCGUCUCUUUGCCGAUGAAACGAUGACAAGCUUCUUCUUCUUCUUCUUCUUCUUUUCCAUCUCGUCAGGAGGAUACCUCCCGAAGAGCAUAUCAAAUUGAGUUAUAAUCCUUUUAGUAGAUUUUCAUCCGUCCAUCGCCCUCU